UGUCCAAGAGGACCUCCCAAUAACCUGCCAAUAGCACCAGAAUGUGGCAAUGAUGAGGACUGUUCUGGAGAUGAGAAAUGCUGCAGGUCUCUCUGCCUCUCUCCUGUUUUCAUAACUGGCAGAUGUCCCCCCCAUGGAAGAUUUGGGAUAUGUAUUGAGGAAUGCUCUGACAUCAGACCAUGCAGAAAUGGUAAAAUAUGCUGCUUCAAUGGGUGUGGAAUGCAAUGCAUGACACCAGUAUAAGUUCCACCAUGACUUUGAGAUGGGCGAUGGUUCUUCCCUCACUGUCAUGAAUGCUGAUGGUGAUUGUAAGAGCAGCAAGUUGUGUUGUAUGAAUAGAUGAGGACAAACCUGCCAGCAAUGCUUAUUUUCUUCAA